CAAACACUAGCCUAUAUUAAACCGGCUAUUACCAGGUCCUAAACACACAUAUGCACACACACACACAGUAGAAGUAGAGAGAGAGAGAAGUUAGCAGCUGGAAGUUUGCUACCUGCUCUCAGGAUAAACCACAUUUUAUUUUUUAGAGCCUCAGUAAAGCUAAUGUGGUCCACAUGGUCACAGCACACUGCUCCUCUACACCAACAGUUAACCCUGCAAUUAACCCGCACCUCAGCCAAACAUCAUUAGAGAGAGAGCAAAGGAGAGAGAGGAAGAUUGAGAAAGACGAGAGACAGAUAAAUGGAGAAAGUGGAAAAUGGUGAUCUUACGACCGCAGAGAACCGGCAGCUGUCCAUCCCUUUUCCCACACCGCCCUGCAUGGACUGAAACACCAACAGCCCAAUCCAAAUUCAGCUGAAAAUUUCCAUAGAGAAUAAUCAGGCUACAAUACUAACAGAUAAUAUUAUGAAUCUAAACAUAUUACUAGUAUUACCUGUUCAGGCUGGAACAAAAACCAUAUCAUGAUGAUAAAGGGAAUUUCAACAUUUGUGGAAAAUUAGAGUAUUCUAUUUGUAGCCAGUGUUAUUUUUAGUUUCUGUUGAAGUCAUUCUUUGUUGUUUGAGAAAAAAAGUGAUGCUGUAUGCUUUACAUCAAAUCAGUCCCCAGGGCUGCACUGUGCAGAAUAAUAAUCUGAAAUUGCAUAACCUAUGUCAUCUUUAUUCUGAAAACAUCUCCUCUCCUCUCCUCUCCUCUCCUCUCCUCUCCUCUCCUCCUCUCCUCUCCUGUAACUUGGCUACAAGUAACGUUAAUUUUUCUUAGUCUCUAGACAGAAUCAAAUGCCAUCUGUAAUAAGCAGCCAUGAUGAAAAUAUGUAUGAAUCACCAAGGGCAAGCCUGAGAAAUUUAAUUCUUUUAGCUUAUAUGACUCACUG